rnacentral:rRNA from 1 species
UACGGAGGAUGCGAGCGUUAUCCGGAUUUAUUGGGUUUAAAGGGUGCGCAGGCGGGCUGUUAAGCCGGCGGUAAAAAUUCAGGGCUCAACCCUGUCGAGCCGUCGGAACUGGCAGUCUUGAGUGGGCGAGAAGUAUGCGGAAUGCGUGGUGUAGCGGUGAAAUGCAUAGAUAUAUGGAGGAACACCGGUGGCGAAAGCGGCUCUCUGGUCUGUAACUGACGCUGAGGCUCGAAAGCGUGGGUAGCGAACAGG